AAGUAUAUCAAUAUUGGACUCAUUUUGAAGCUCGUAUUUUAAAACGAUGUGUUAUAUUUUUAUUUCCUCAAAAUAUUAUUUUACAAGAGGAAAAUUCUUGAUAACAGCUAUCUACCCCAAAAGAAGAAAGAAAGAAAACUUUCCACUCCUCUUUCAUCAUCUUGAGCCGCACUCUCUCUUCCUCUUUUUUCUACAUUUUAUUUUAUUUUGCACCCUUUCCUAUCAUUUUCACCUUUUUUUUUCACAUGCUCCACACAUCUUCCCACAUUUGAUUUCUUCUUCUUUUUUUUUUCUCUUUAAUGGGUUCCACAUGUUUGCUCUCUUUUUUACUACAUCUCUUUCUCUUCAUCAUCAUCUCUCACGCUCCAUUCUACUCCUCCCUUCCCCCCGCUCCUUCGUCCCUCUCUCAUACGCUCCUCUCUCUCAUAUUUUUCUAUAAGAGGUGGAUUUUGACUCAAAUAAGGGCGACUUUUCAGGUUUUUUUUUAGAGGGAUUUUCAGUGAACAGAAUCAAAGAAAAAAAAUCGAUUUCUCCUUUCCGGUGAACUUUAGCCGGAAAUUACUCAACAUUUUCAGAGAUCCAACUAUAUUCCAAGCUUGAUUUUUCCUUUUUCCGGUGAACUUUAGCCGCGACGAGUGUAGUCGAUUCACAACUCUAGCUUCGAAUUUGUUCGGGUGUAAAAGAGUAGAUCGAGACUCAAAUCCCUUGUUCACUGCACCCACAAAAGGUAAAUCUGACCCGGCUCCGUUCAUUUUUUUUUUUUUGUUAAAAUACCGCGUUUUAGAAAUCAUGUUUUAGGAUGUUUGUAUUAUGGAAUAUUUUUAUGUUUACUAGUUGUUUUAUGGUGUAAAUUUUGAAUAGCAUGUCACAAAAUAUAUAUGUUGCAUACUUCUAUUUAUUUAUUUUUUCUUUCUUUCUUUUGUUCACUUCCUUCUUACCUUUUGAAAUCUGGAUGAAUCCAGGCUUUGGUAUGUUCAUCAGCCGUAUUAUUGGCUGUCACAAAGCAUGCUUUGUUUAUGGUUUCUCUCAACAUGUCCUUGUACAUUUAUAUUGAAUUUUGUUUAAAUCCUUAUGCUGUUAAGAUUGUGUUCCAUAUGUCGGGUAUGUUAUCUUCCUUUAUGAUUUCAUUUUUUUUUACAAAGAUAGGUGUUUAGGAUCAAAAUGACAUUUGUUCUCAAGUGUUGUAUACACCUAGCAUUUUAAUCCUUUUUCCUCUUCGGUUUUCCAUUUGUUUGAAUUUAGUACGAAUUAGGAGUUUAAUUCUAUUUCGUAUAAGUUUCAAUCUGCUCAAAAAUUAAUGGGAUCGGCUUCUUUUAGUUCUUCAUCCUUUUAACAAAAAGCCAUGUUUGAUAUCUGUUGCUACUUAUCUUUGCUCAACGUUAUGGUAUUUUGGUUGAUGCCUUAUUUAUGUGUAGUGUGUGGUGGCUGAAUUGUGUAUGCAUAAGGUACAUUUAAAAUAUACAUUGAAUAUACUCAAAUAUACCUAGCAUACAUAAUCCACUGGUCUGUUUUAAAUCUACAUUUCAUAUCUUUAAACCUUAUCUAUUGGACACAUACUAAUCCUUUUUCUUUCGUUUUUAUGCAUGACUAUCGCAUAUGAGUCUCUCGGAUUCAUCAUCUUCCACAUUCAGUGUUGGGCUAAAGGCCCAACACAACUUCUCUCGAGUCAGCCCUCAUACAGUAGCGGCUAGUCUGCAGCAAUAUAUGAAGAAAUUUGUUGGGCCGAAGCCCAACAGUCAACAGACCACAGCAGUCCAAGAAAAUGGGUAUGGAUUUGCAUUGGAGUACAACAAAUGACGAAGAUCAAGGACUUCACAAAACGGAGCUGAAAUUUAGACAUAGGAAAUUGUAUUUACUUUACUUAGAUUAGGAAACACUUUAUGUUGUAUUCAUUUGACAUGUAAUAAAUAUUACACUACUUUUGUACUCUAUUUUGGGGAAAUAGAAUUUGUUUAAUCAAAGCAACGGGAUGACG